rnacentral:rRNA from 1 species
CUUAAAGUCUUGUAAUUGGAAUGAUGGGAAUUUAAACCUCUUCCAGAGUAUCAAUUGGAGGGCAAGUCUGGUGCCAGCAGCCGCGGUAAUUCCAGCUCCAAUAGCGUAUAUUAAAAUUGUUGCAGUUAAAAAGCUCGUAGUUGAAUUUCUGCUGCAUUGCUUGUGUCCCUCUGGGGUCUGUGCAUGUGGCUUUUUUCGGACGGAGUUUCUUUGUCUGAAUGUUUACUUUGAGAAAAUUAGAGUGCUCAAAGCAGGCUUUCGCCUUGAAUAGUUUAGCAUGGAAUAAUAAAGUAGGACUUUGGUUCUAUUUUGUUGGUUUUAGGUACCAAAGUAAUGGUUAAUAGGAACAGUUGGGGGCAUUCGUAUUUAACUGUCAGAGGUGAAAUUCUUAGA